rnacentral:lncRNA from 1 species
UUAAUCUAUUAUAUAAAAUGAAGCAUUUAAUUAUAGUAAUAAUUUGAAGUAGUUUGAAGUACCACACUGAGGUGAGGACUUAAAAAUGAUAAGACGAGUUCCCUAUUUUAUAAGAAAAAUAAGCCAAAAUUAAAUAUUCUUUUGGAUAUAAAUUUCAACAGUGAGAUAGCUGCCUAGUGGAAAUGAAUAAUAUCCCAGCCACUAGUGUACAGGGUGUUUUGUGGCACAGGAUUAUGUAAUAUGGAACUGCUCAAGCAAAUAACUAGUCAUCACAACAGCAGUUCUUUGUAAUAACUGAAAAAGAAUAUUGUUUCUCGGAGAAGGAUGUCAAAAGAUCGGCCCAGCUCAGGGAGCAGUUUGCCCUACUAGCUCCUCGGACAGCUGUAAGAAGAGUCUCUGGCUCUUUAGAAUACUGAUCCCAUUGAAGAUACCACGCUGCAUGUGUCCUUAGUAGUCAUGUCUCCUUAGGCUCCUCUUGGACAUUCUGAGCAUGUGAGACCUGAGGACUGCAAACAGCUAUAAGAGGCUCCAAAUUCAUCAUAUCUUUCCCUUUGAGAAUCUGGCCAAGCUCCAGCUAAUCUACUUGGAUGGGUUGCCAGCUAUCUGGAGAAAAAGGUUGGUAGCCAGAAUAUAACAGCUCCGCACAACUGUAAAUGUCCACUCUUCAAUCCACAUGAAGAAAAGGAUCUUCCUCAGAAGAAUAGGCUUGUUGCUUUACAGUGUUAGUGAUCCAUUCCCUUUGACGAUCCCUAGGUGGAGAUGGGGCAUGAGGAUCCUCCAGGGGAAAAGCUCACUACCACUGGGCAACAACCCUAGGUCAGGAGGUUCUGUCAAGAUACUUUCCUGGUCCCAGAUAGGAAGAUAAAGUCUCAAAAACAACCACCACACGUCAAGCUCUUCAUUGUUCCUACCUGCCAAAUCAUUAUACUUCCUACAAGCAGUGCAGAGAGCUGAGUCUUCAGCAGGUCCAAGAAAUUUGAACACACUGAAGGAAGUCAGCCUUCCCACCUGAAGAUCAACAUGCCUGGCACUCUAGCACUUGAGGAUAGCUGAAUGAAUGUGUAUUUCUUUGUCUCUUUCUUUCUUGUCUUUGCUCUUUGUUCUCUAUCUAAAGUGUGUCUUACCCAUUUCCAUGUUUCUCUUGCUAAUUUCUUUCGUGUGUGCCUUUGCCUCAUUUUCUCUUUUUGUUCACAAGAGUGGUCUGUGUCUUGUCUUAGACAUAUCUCUCAUUUUUCAUUUUGUUGCUAUUUCUCUUUGCUCUCCUAGAUGUGGCUCUUCUUUCACGCUUUAUUUCAUGUCUCCUUUUUGGGUCACAUGCUGUGUGCUUUUUGUCCUUUUCUUGUUCUGUCUACCUCUCCUUUCUCUGCCUACCUCUCUUUUCUCUUUGUGAACUGUGAUUAUUUGUUACCCCUUCCCCUUCUCGUUCGUUUUAAAUUUCACCUUUUUUCUGAGUCUGGCCUCCUUUCUGCUGUUUCUACUUUUUAUCUCACAUUUCUCAUUUCUGCAUUUCCUUUCUGCCUCUCUUGGGCUAUUCUCUCUCUCCUCCCCUGCGUGCCUCAGCAUCUCUUGCUGUUUGUGAUUUUCUAUUUCAGUAUUAAUCUCUGUUGGCUUGUAUUUGUUCUCUGCUUCUUCCCUUUCUACUCACCUUUGAGUAUUUCAGCCUCUUCAUGAAUCUAUCUCCCUCUCUUUGAUUUCAUGUAAUCUCUCCUUAAAUAUUUCUUUGCAUAUGUGGGCAAGUGUACGUGUGUGUGUGUCAUGUGUGGCAGAGGGGCUUCCUAACCCCUGCCUGAUAGGUGCAGAACGUCGGCUAUCAGAGCAAGCAUUGUGGAGCGGUUCCUUAUGCCAGGCUGCCAUGUGAGAUGAUCCAAGACCAAAACAAGGCCCUAGGCUGCAGUAAAACCCAAAACUCAAGUAGGGCAGAAGGUGGAAGGCUCAUAUGGAUAGAAGGCCCAAAGUAUAAGACAGAUGGUUUGAGACUUGAGACCCGAGGACUAAGAUGGAAAGCCCAUGUUCCAAGAUAGAUAGAAGCCUCAGGCCUGAAACCAACAAAAGCCUCAAGAGCCAAGAAAACAGAGGGUGGCCUGAAUUGGACCGAAGGCCUGAGUUGGAUGGAAGUCUCAAGGCUUGAGUUAGAAGUCUUAAGACCUGGGACAGGACACAUGGAAGGCCUAAGAACUGAGACUUGUGACACAAGGCCAACGAUCUAAGAUUAGCCCAGGGUUGUAGCUGGAAGACCUACAACCCAAGGAUGGAAGGCCCCUGUCACAAAGCCUACCUAGAUGGAUAGAGGACCCAAGCGAAAAAGGUAUCUCAAGACUAAAGGCUGGAAUCUGGAGGCCCAUGACCCAGAACCCAGGAAGGAUAGAAGCUUGAAGACCUGGGGAAAUCCCAAGAUGAGAACCCUAAACCCUACCUCUUUUCUAUUGUUUACACUUCUUACUCUUAGAUAUUUCCAGUUCUCCUGUUUAUCUUUAAGCCUGAUUCUUUUGAGAUGUACUUUUUGAUGUUGCCGGUUACCUUUAGAUUGACAGUAUUAUGCCUGGGCCAGUCUUGAGCCAGCUUUAAAUCACAGCUUUUACCUAUUUGUUAGGCUAUAGUGUUUUGUAAACUUCUGUUUCUAUUCACAUCUUCUCCACUUGAGAGAGACACCAAAAUCCAGUCAGUAUCUAAUCUGGCUUUUGUUAACUUCCCUCAGGAGCAGGCAUUCAUAUAGGUGAUACUGUAUUUCAGUCCUUUCUUUUGACCCCAGAAGCCCUAGACUGAGAAGAUAAAAUGGUCAGGUUGUUGGGGGAAAAAAAGUGCCAGGCUCUCUAGAGAAAAAUGUGAAGAGAUGCUCCAGGCCAAUGAGAAGAAUUAGACAAGAAAUACACAGAUGUGCCAGACUUCUGAGAAGCACCUGCCAGCAACAGCUUCCUUCUUUGAGCUUAGUCCAUCCCUCAUGAAAAAUGACUGACCACUGCUGGGCAGCAGGAGGGAUGAUGACCAACUAAUUCCCAAACCCCAGUCUCAUUGGUACCAGCCUUGGGAAACCACCCACACUUGAGCCACAAUUGGUUUUGAAGUGCAUUUACAAGUUUCUGGCAUCACUACCACUACUGAUUAAACAAGAAUAAGAGAACAUUUUAUCAUCAUCUGCUUUAUUCACAUAAAUGAAGUUGUGAUGAAUAAAUCUGCUUUUAUGCAGACACAAGGAAUUAAGUGGCUUCGUCAUUGUCCUUCUACAUCAAAGAUAAUUUAUUCCAAAAGCUAAGAUAAAUGGAAGACUCUUGAACUUGUGAACUGAUGUGAAAUGCAGAAUCUCUUUUGAGUCUUUGCUGUUUGGAAGAUUGAAAAAUAUUGUUCGGCAUGGGUGACCACCAGAAAGUAAUCUUAAGCCAUCUAGAUGUCACAAUUGAAACAAACUGGGGAGUUGGUUG